UGGCCUCCAUCACGGGGUUAAGGAUCCGGCAUUGUUGCAGUUGCAGCUUGGAUCCACUGUUGUUAGUGGCUGUGGUGUAGGCCAUCAGCUGUAGCUCUGAUUUGGCCCCUAGCCUGGGCACUUCCAUAGGCUGCAGGUGUGGCCCUAAAAAGAAAAAAAAAGUGCUUCCUUUAAGGAAGCUGUUUUGCCUAAAGGCAUAUCUUUGCACUGGAAAUUGUUGAAUAAAAUAUUCUGUGCUAAAAAUAAAUAAAUUCAACAACACAAAAACAAAAUUAAAAAAGCCUUCCCCAGGACUCUGAGUACAUCACAUCUCCUCCAACCUCCCUACCCUAGCUCACCUAACCCUGCACUGACCCCAGUUUUCCCAUCCCCCCAUUGAUGUCCUCUACCUCCUGAUGCCCCCCCACAAUCCUUUCCUCCCUCUACUUGGCCCACCUCCCUUUUCACACCACCUGCUGCCCGUUUCCACAACUGAGGGGCCCAAGUACCUGAUGCAUGCUCUCCCCAAAGUGACGUGCAAAUGUGGUGCUCCAUGUCCAUCAAGGACCCAGGUAUGAUUGAGCCCUACUAGAAGAGUUUCUACGUGAGGCCUUUCAACCUCACUCAGAUAAAAUCCUGAAGGUGGAAGCACUGACCAACCUGGCAAAUGAGACUAACACCCAUAUUUUCCUACAGAAAUCCCAAACCUACAUCCACAGUGAGAUAAGGACUUUGUGGCAGCCAUGGUCCAAGCCCCUAGAUACUAUUCAACUAAGAGAGGCUGAGUCAGUGACAUCUGCUUCAAAGACCUGGUGCAGUUUCUAUUCCACUGUGAUUAGCUUGAGGUCACAGAGUCAGUGGCCAUCAUGAAGAAGCUGUUGCAGAUGCGUGAAGCACACCAUGAGAUCAUCAAGCACUUGGCAAAGCUCACAGAGGACAUCCAGGUGUCCAUGGCCUGAGCCAGCAUUCUGAGGCUCAUCGGUGAGAACUGUGAGCAUGACCAUAGGAAUGCACCUGACAUCCUGAGAAAAACAGCCAAGUCCUUCACAGCAGAGGAAGACAUCACCAAGCUGCGGGUCAUCAACCUGGUCAUCAAACUUUACCCGACCACUGUAAUCGAACCAAACUGCUGACCCUGUAUGUACUGAAUCUGGCCAAGUAUGACCGGAACUACAAUGUAGGAGACCAAACACACUUCACCCAGCCACUUAUGUACCUUCAGAGUGUUACAGGACCCUCGGCCACCGUAUCAGGAAGCUCUUCCUGGCACCCAGACCACCCUCAGUCUUGGAAUCAUUCUUCAAAGACCAGAAUCACUUUUCAUAUGGGUUCACUGUACCAUCUGCUCAAAAGCAAGGCCACAGGCUACCCAAAGCUCCCAGACUCUCCAGAGGAAGCCCCACAUUGACCUGAGCACAACAUGGAGGCAUCUGAAUGGACCGAUUGAUCACAUCAAGACAAGAGGAAGGAAGAACCCUUCUACACAAAUUCUGAUGGGGAGUCAGAUCCUACGGAGCCUGCAGGCAGUGCUCUCCCAGUCUGAGAGCGAAUUGUACAGUAAGAGCAGUAGUAAGAGCAGCUCUGGGGAGUCAGCAAUGAGUCCAGUAAUGAAGACCAGAAUGAGGAUGAGGAGAAAGGGAGCAGUGGGAGUGAUCAGAGUGAGAAGGAAGAUGAGGUGAGGAAGACAAAGAAGAGGAAAAAAAUGCCAGACAGCAAAAAGCCUCCUCCCCCAAUGAUAGCAGGGAUUCUAGCUCUAGCUCAUCCGAAUCUGAGAUGAUAGCAGAGUCUGAGGAAAGGCAGAUGGAACAUGCCUCCUGGAAGAAUUCAAAAAACAAAAGAUACUAGCUGCAAAAAUGCCCUGCAGCCAAGGAGAUCUCCCUGCUUGAUCUUGAGGACUUCACCCCUCCCAGUGUCCAGCCCAACUCUCCUCCCACAGCUGUGUCCACCAGGCUGGCUGCUGACUUAGAGGGUCUGCCACUCAAAAACUUCCCACUGGUGUCCUCACUCCUGAAUCCAGUGUCAAAUGUAGGGAAGCAGGAGCUGCUGCACCUCUUAGCUGGUAAGGGGCUGACUGAGGGCUACACCUUCAGCAGCCAUCCUUUCUCCUAGCACUACCAAGUGGUGGCUGUGUGUGUCCACUUCUCCUCCAGCUCCAAUAUCCUGUCAAGGGCCCACAGGCAAGCAUCCUCUGAACUUCCUGCUGGCAUCAGCAUCCUGAAUUCGAGCCCCUAGCACUGAGAGAAUCUGUCGCUGUGGUAAUGAGCAUUAAUUUCUGUGACUCAACCUAGGCAGCUGUGCUUCCAGCUGUGAACACAAACCCCAUGGGUCUGUGUCCCCAACCAGCCACUGCAGAGCUGAGGGCUCUGUGUUCAUGAACGGGAAGGAGUUUAGAAACAGGGAAAUCUGACAGGCAUGAACAAGAUCACAUAGCGGUGCAGAAUGUGACCAACCUGGGUUGUGUUCCUUGUGGGGUGCACGGUAAGUACGGCAAGGACAGUGACCAGUGGGAGACUUGUCUUGCUGACCCUGGAAUGCCGCACCCACCAGAGCCACUCAGCUGAUGGUCAACAGUAAGAAGGUGGUGAUGGGUACCAUGUUUUUAAAGGAUGUAAUGCAGGCUCUGACGCAAUGAUUUCCAAGCUCCGUGACCUCAGUGGCUCUACCUCUUCCUCCCUCAUGACAGCUAGGCUGUUAGAUGCCCCCCUUCCCCUCAUAUCAGAUUCUUUAUGCCAGAAAGCACUCAGUGGUCCUCUCUCCCUCUGGUCAUUACCAGGGCACCCCCCCCCCGCGCCAAUUCCCCUCCCCACAAGUUCCUUAAUGACCUGUGCAGAAGGAAACAGCAGCUGCUUUCUUCAACCCUCCUAGUUUUCUGUAGCUAUUAAUGUAGAAAAACCUCAAUAAAGUGUCUUUGUAAUAUAUGCUAUAAAGUAUAUUGUAUACGUGAUGGAUGUUAGCUAGACUUAUUGUCAUGAUCACUUUGCAACAUAUCCAAAUAUCAUAUCAUUAUUCUGUACACCUGAACCUAAUGUAAUGUUUUCUGUCGAUUUUAUCUCAAUAAAGAAUAAAUAAAUAAAAUGUGUAUUUCUGAAUGGUAGUGAUUUAGGAACACUGAAUCAUAAUAUCUACAUGUGAGCCUAGAAAUUCUUCAUUUAGAAAGUGUCUGACCUUGGAGUUCCCGUUGUGACUCAGACUGUAAACUCGGCUGGUAUAUGAGCAUGCAGGCUCAAUCCCUGGUCUCACUCAGUGGGUUAAGGAUCCAGCACUGCCACAAGCAAUACAGAAUACAGCUCAGAUAUGGCAUUGGGCUUUGCUGUGGCUUUGAUGUAGGCCAGCAUCUGCAGCUCCAAUUUGACCCCUAGCUUGGGAACUUCCAUAUGCCACAGUUAUGGCCCUAAAAAGGGGAAAAAAAAAAAAAAAAGUGACCAUUUUAAAUCAUAGCAGAGUUUAAAAUUGUUAUGUCUUAGACACCUCUUGUUUCAGCAAUCCCCCUUGUCUGCCCUGGGCUCUUCCACAUGACACCAGCCCUUCAGAAAGAACCUUGGUAAACUGGAAUUGAGGUUCCAGAAGAAACUACCAAAAGCAAGAGAACCGAGAUCUCUGAAGCCUCUUUAUUCUAUAGUAGCUAGUUUACAACAAUUAACUAAAUGAAUACCUACUAAGACACAGGUAGGAGAAACAAUUUUAGAACAUCAAAAAAGAGGGGAAUUUCUGACCUUAAGAGAUUUACAAACUGAUAGGAGACAAAGGAACACAUAAAAAUCAUGUAAGGGGAAAAGAAUUUCUAAUCAUCUUAAUUUGUUGGGUAAUUGUUUUGACAUUCACAUCUAUUUUGACUAUAGAGAAAGUUUGAACAGAGUUUUCCAACCUCUAUCUAGAAUUUUCCAUUAAAUAUUCUGAGUGCAUCACUAUAAUACAGUCCAGACUUUCUAGUCUCUUACCUAGAAAUUUAUUUUGAUUUAAUCGUGUAUAAACCAUACUACAUUCUGGAACUUUAAAGAAUGUCUAGUUUCAAAUAUCCUAGAUUACUUUCUCAAAUUAUUAAAAGAUUUAAGAAAUUCCACCACUUUGAAAUCUUCUACUACUUUUGCACUCAAAUGUCAUGUAAAACACAUAUUAUUUUUUUAAUUCAUUCAUUCAUUCGUUCAUUCAUUCUAAGUCAUAAAUUGAGAGCCAUCUAUAUCUUGAGAUACUAAAAAUGAUUAAAAUUCAGUGCCUGUUCUCAGGGACCACAGCCUUAGAGAUAAGGCAGAUGCAUAAACGACCAUAUACCCUAAUUUAGGGGGAAAAAAAUCUAUCUAUGUAUCUAUCUGUCUAUCUAUAUAUCUAUCUAUCAUCACUAUAGAGAAUAUAUUUUAUCACCUGUGCUUGGCAGAUAAUGAUUUUAGAAUGAAGGCAAAGAUGAAAUUACUAUACAGAAAGUAGUCUAUAAAAGUUAAGUGGAGAGUAAGCACACAUUUUAGGGCAGCAAGGAUACAGGCAGGCCACAGAUAAGGCAAGGAAUCUUAUUUUAGCAAGGGAGAGGCAAAGAACCUAUAAUGAUCUACUCAGUGAAAGGCAUGUGCUCCUUAAAUAAUCACUAUCUGGCAUGCUUUUUCCAUUUGAUAACUAGAUUAACUGUGACACAAUAGGAUUUAGGGCAUGAGUGAGGGAAGGAAGAGCUCUCAACACCGAACGGAAAUAGGACUAGAGUACAGGGUUGCCUGGCCCCACUAACGAGAGGUAUGUCAUUUGUGAACGAAAGCACCCAUCAAAGAAUUUUCAGCAUGAAAUCCUGGGGUGCCUCCGUUUGUCACCCGAACUUCUCCUGGCUGUGGCAGGAGUCUCAGAUGCUAAUUGCCACCAUGAGUUCCUAGAUUUACACACCGAACACUAUGACAUAAUCCUGGAGGAAGGCAAGGAGAUUGGGGAAGACAGAUCUCUUCAGUCCUGCUGUGAAAGUAGAGAAAAGCAAACCCAAAGCGAACCUGACAACUUUCCCUUUAAUUGAUUUAAAUUAGGAAUUUCUCCAACUUCCAAACUGUUUUCUAAUUAAGUUCGAUAUGAAUGAUGGCCCGUGUUGUAGAUGGUUGAAAGGUGAGUUUUCUAAAAUAAAAAUGAAGUAGGAAUGCGAUCUAGUUUUCUGAAGAAGUAAUCCAUGCUAUUCGGAUGACACCUUUCACAUAUUUUGGGGAGGUGCUGAUGAUUAGUUUAUUUUAGAUUUUAAUAAAAUGAUACAUCCCGCUCAACAAGCUCUCCAAACACUAAGGCUCAUCUUAAAAAUAAUUUCAAUGAGAUUUAUUUUUAUUCAUUUUAAAAAUUGAUAUGUGCUCAUGAGAAAAUAUAUGGGAUAUAGAAAAUAGAAAAAGAGAGGGGGAAAAAAGUACCCAUAAUAACAGAUAUAGUCACUGACAAAAAUUAACAUUUUCGGUAUACUUUUCUUAUGCUUUAUAUUUCAACCCAUAAAUAAUUGUGAUGUCAUAUUAAAUAUUGUAUAAAGUAUAUGCCUUUUCAUGUAAUGUAAAACAAAUGUUUCCAUGAUAUUACAAAACUUUUCAAGGACAAAUUUAAUCCUUGCAUAAUAUUCCUUCAUAUAAAGCAUGCUGUAAUUUACUUGUAUAUUCCUCUCUUUCCAACUAUAUGUGUCAUUUCCUAAGGUUCAAUAUCUUGAAUAAGGUUUUACAAUGUAAACAAUGUGGAUAUUUUAAUUUUUGUUAUUUUUGAUUUUUUUUCCUUUGGUUUGUUGCACUCUCAGGAUUUAUUUGUGAUAGGGUUAAGUGUUAAGGGUUGGUAAUGAGAAUGAGUUUGAAUUUGACAUAUUUUGUGACACCUUCUGAUAAGAUUACUCCAGUUUUUGUCUCACCUUCAGGUAAAACUUCCCAUUUACUGUAAACAAUCUCAUAUUAAAUGUUGUGAUUUUUUACAUUUGCUCAUUUGUCUCUAACACUGAAACUGGAUUUGUAUUUAUUUGUUUGUUGAGAGGUAGAAUAUUUCCACAUGUACUUUUCAUCAGUAUUUCUUCUUUUCAUCAAUUGUCUAUUCAAAUCAUUUUAUUUCUAAUACACGAAAGCAAUCC
rnacentral:lncRNA from 1 species